rnacentral:sRNA from 1 species
UGUUAGGGAUAGUAGUGGAAAUCCUUUUUUGAGGCUUUUUCUGCCUCAAAAAAGAUUAUUUCACAAUAUUAUAUUUC